rnacentral:rRNA from 1 species
AGGACGAACGCUGGCGGCGCGCUUAACACAUGCAAGUCGAACGGGGCUCUUCGGAGUUCAGUGGCGAACGGGUGCGUAACACGUGAGUGACCUGCCCUGGUACGGGGGAUAACCCGGGGAAACCCGGGCUAAUACCGCAUGCGCUCUCUGGGCUUCCGGGCCUGGGGGAGGAAAAGUGCUUUCGGGCACUGUGCGAGGAGGGGCUCGCGGCGUAUCAGGUAGUUGGUGAGGUAACGGCUCGACCAAGCCGAUGACGCGUAGGGGGUCUGAGAGGAUCGGCCCCCCA